UGAUGAACGCUAGCGACAGGCUUAACACAUGCAAGUCGAGGGGCAGCGGGGGUAGCGAUACCCGCCGGCGACCGGCGCAUGGGUGAGUAACGCGUAUGCAACUUGCCUAUCAGAGGGGGAUAACCCGGCGAAAGUCGGACUAAUACCGCAUGAAGCAGGGGCCCCGCAUGGGGAUAUUUGCUAAAGAUUCAUCGCUGAUAGAUAGGCAUGCGUUCCAUUAGGCAGUUGGCGGGGUAACGGCCCACCAAACCGACGAUGGAUAGGGGUUCUGAGAGGAAGGUCCCCCACAUUGGUACUGAGACACGGACCAAACUCCUACGGGAGGCAGCAGUGAGGAAUAUUGGUCAAUGGCCGAGAGGCUGAACCAGCCAAGUCGCGUGAGGGAUGAAGGUUCUAUGGAUCGUAAACCUCUUUUAUAAGGGAAUAAAGUGCGGGACGUGUCCCGUUUUGUAUGUACCUUAUGAAUAAGGAUCGGCUAACCCCGUGCCAGCAGCCGCGGUAAUACGGAGGAUCCGAGCGUUAUCCGGAUUUAUUGGGUUUAAAGGGUGCGUAGGCGGCCUUUUAAGUCAGCGGUGAAAGUCUGUGGCUCAACCAUAGAAUUGCCGUUGAAACUGGGGGGCUUGAGUAUGUUUGAGGCAGGCGGAAUGCGUGGUGUAGCGGUGAAAUGCAUAGAUAUCACGCAGAACCCCGAUUGCGAAGGCAGCCUGCCAAGCCAUUACUGACGCUGAUGCACGAAAGCGUGGGGAUCAAACAGGAUUAGAUACCCUGGUAGUCCACGCAGUAAACGAUGAUCACUAGCUGUUUGCGAUACACUGUAAGCGGCACAGCGAAAGCGUUAAGUGAUCCACCUGGGGAGUACGCCGGCAACGGUGAAACUCAAAGGAAUUGACGGGGGCCCGCACAAGCGGAGGAACAUGUGGUUUAAUUCGAUGAUACGCGAGGAACCUUACCCGGGUUUGAACGCAUUCGGACCGAGGUGGAAACACCUUUUCUAGCAAUAGCCGUUUGCGAGGUGCUGCAUGGUUGUCGUCAGCUCGUGCCGUGAGGUGUCGGCUUAAGUGCCAUAACGAGCGCAACCCUUGCCACUAGUUACUAACAGGUAAAGCUGAGGACUCUGGUGGGACUGCCAGCGUAAGCUGCGAGGAAGGCGGGGAUGACGUCAAAUCAGCACGGCCCUUACAUCCGGGGCGACACACGUGUUACAAUGGCGUGGACAAAGGGAGGCCACCUGGCGACAGGGAGCGAAUCCCCAAACCACGUCUCAGUUCGGAUCGGAGUCUGCAACCCGACUCCGUGAAGCUGGAUUCGCUAGUAAUCGCGCAUCAGCCAUGGCGCGGUGAAUACGUUCCCGGGCCUUGUACACACCGCCCGUCAAGCCAUGGGAGCCGGGGGUACCUGAAGUCCGUAACCGAAAGGAUCGGCCUAGGGUA
rnacentral:rRNA from 1 species